UUUCCUUUAGGGACCUGCGGAAGGAUCAUUG
rnacentral:rRNA from 1 species